rnacentral:rRNA from 1 species
CGAUGCCACUAGCGAUCCGUCGGCGUUAAUUUAUGACUCGACGGGCAGCUUCCGGGAAACCAAAGUUUUUGGGUUCCGGGGGAAGUAUGGUUGCAAAGCUGAAACUUAAAGGAAUUGACGGAAGGGCACCACCAGGAGUGGAGCCUGCGGCUUAAUUUGACUCAACACGGGAAAACUCACCCGGCCCGGACACCGUAAGGAUUGACAGAUUGAUAGCUCUUUCUUGAUUCGGUGGGUGGUGGUGCAUGGCCGUUCUUAGUUGGUGGAGCGAUUUGUCUGGUUAAUUCCGAUAACGAACGAGACUCUAGCCUACUAAAUAGAUCGUCGGCUUACAAACGCUGAUGAGACUUCUUAGAGGGACAGGCGGCGAUUCAGCCGCACGAAACAGAGCAAUAACAGGUCUGUGAUGCCCUUAGAUGUCCGGGGCUGCACGCGCGCUACACUGGAGGAAUCAGCGUGCUGUAACCAUUGCCGAAAGGCAUUGGUAACCCCUUGAAAAUCCUCCGUGAUCGGGAUCGGGAAUUGCAAUUAUUUCCCUUGAACGAGGAAUUCCUAGUAAGUGUGGGUCAUCAGCUCACGCUGAUUACGUCCCUGCCCUUUGUACACACCGCCCGUCGCUGCCCGGGACUGAGCCGUUUCGAGAAAAGCGGGGACCGCUGCUUCGGGGCCUUUCGGGGCACUGAUGCGGCCGAGAGCCGCCUUAAUCGCAGCGGCUUGAACCGGGCAAAAGUCGUAACAAGGUUUCUGUAGGUGAACCUGCGGAAGGAUCAAGGGCGAAU